rnacentral:rRNA from 1 species
UACAGAGGGUGCGAGCGUUGUCCGGAAUCAUUGGGCGUAAAGAGCUCGUAGGUGGCCUGUCGCGUCGGCUGUGAAAACUCGGGGCUCAACUCCGAGCUUGCAGUCGAUACGGGCAGGCUAGAGUUCGGCAGGGGAGACUGGAAAUUCCUGGUGUAGCGGUGAAAUGCGCAGAUAUCAGGAGGAACACCGAUGGCGAAGGCAGGUCUCUGGGCCACUACUGACGCUGAGAAGCGAAAGCAUGGGGAGCGAACAGG